rnacentral:rRNA from 1 species
UACAGAGGGUGCAAGCGUUGUUCGGAAUUAUUGGGCGUAAAGGGCGCGUAGGCGGUGCGGUAAGUCUGUAGUGAAAUCUCUGGGCUCAACUCAGAGUCUGCUAUAGAAACUGCCGUGCUAGAGUGUGGGAGAGGUGAGUGGAAUUCCCGGUGUAGCGGUGAAAUGCGUAGAUAUCAGGAGGAACACCUGUGGCGAAAGCGGCUCACUGGACCACAACUGACGCUGAGGCGCGAAAGCUAGGGGAGCAAACAGG